UACGUAGGGUGCAGGCGUUAAUCGGAAUUACUGGGCGUAAAGCGUGCGCAGGCGGUUUGCUAAGACAGGUGUGAAAUCCCCGGGCUCAACCUGGGAAUGGCAUUGGAAACUGGCGGGCUUGAGUGUGGCAGAGGGGGGUGGAAUUCCGCGUGUAGCAGUGAAAUGCGUAGAGAUGCGGAGGAACACCGAUGGCGAAGGCAGCCCCCUGGGCUGACACUGACGCUCAGGCACGAAAGCGUGGGGAGCAAACAGG
rnacentral:rRNA from 1 species